AUCAGUAAUGAAGGAGUUACAAAAACUUGUUCAAACACCUCUUGAGGGCAUUAAAGUUGCUCUUCCCGAUGAAAACCUCACAGAAAUCCACGCCACCAUCUCUGGUC
rnacentral:ribozyme from 1 species